GAUGAACGCUGGCGGCGUGCCUAAUACAUGCAAGUCGAGCGAACAGACGAGGAGCUUGCUCCUCUGACGUUAGCGGCGGACGGGUGAGUAACACGUGGAUAACCUACCUAUAAGACUGGGAUAACUUCGGGAAACCGGAGCUAAUACCGGAUAAUAUAUUGAACCGCAUGGUUCAAUAGUGAAAGACGGUUUUGCUGUCACUUAUAGAUGGUUCCGCGCCGUUUGAGCUAGUGGUGAAGGUAAAGGCUUACCAAGGCGAGGAGGCGUAGCCGACCGGAGAGGGUGAUAGGCCACACUGGAACUGAGACACGGUCCAGACUCCUACGGGAGGCAGCAGUAGGGAAUCGUCCGCAAUGGGCGAAAGCAUGACGGAGCAACGCCGCGUGAGUGAUGAAGGUCUUCGGAUCGUAAAACUGUGUUAUUAGGGAAGAACAAAUGUGUAAGUAACUAUGCACGUCUUGACGGUACCUAAUCAGAAAGCCACGGCUAACUACGUG
rnacentral:rRNA from 1 species